UAAUUAUUUCGUCAUGAUGAUGUCAUCCUUAACAGAAUUUUCAAAAGUUGUUUAGUUUCAAACAGGUUGAGGAAUAAUAUAACCUUGAAUAACAGAAAUGUUUGCCAUGAUCGUAAAACUGUUGCUUUUCAGCUCGGUAAUUAACACAGUUUUGAAUUGCUAUCAGUGCUUUAUUGAUGUCGAUGACAGUCUUCGUUUGUGCUGGGGCCAUAUUCUCACCGAAUACAAUAUAAGGAAUGUAGACUCUUGUUUCAAAACGCUCGAUCGCAUAUUCAACAAUGAAUCGAGAGUAAUUGAAGCAGGAAAAGUAGGGAGAGGCUAUGACUUGAUGCUGAAGAAUAUCUUGAUGGCUGAAAUUAUGCCUAUAGUGGAGGAAUCUGACCAGCAAAAAAAUUAUGAUACAGUAUAUGAGUUCAGGCUACAUGCAGCAGCAAACAAUUUCAUUGCUGCAGCCUCGAGGCUGCCCAGAGGUGAGACUUACAUUAUCACUUCAUUUCUUUU
rnacentral:lncRNA from 1 species